rnacentral:misc_RNA from 1 species
GAUGAAGAACGUAGCGAAUUGCGAUAAGUAAUGUGAAUUGCAGAAUUCCGUGAAUCAUCGAAUCUUUGAACGCACAUUGCGCCCGCCAGUAUUCUGGCGGGCAUGCCUGUCUGAGCGUCAUUUCAACCCUCAUGCCCCUAGGGCGUGGUGUUGGGGAUCGGCCAAAGCCCGCGAGGGACGGCCGGCCCCUAAAUCUAGUGGCGGACCCGUCGUGGCCUCCUCUGCGAAGUAGUGAUAUUCCGCAUCGGAGAGCGAUGAGCCCCUGCCGUUAAACCCCCAACUUUCCAAGGUUGACCUCAGAUCAGGUAGGAAUACCCGCUGAACUUAAGCAUAUCAAUAAGCGGAGGA